rnacentral:lncRNA from 1 species
UGGUGCUGAUGAUGUGAGUGGUAGUAGCUAUGUAUAGGAGUAAGUCUUCAUUUGGGGAUGGAGUGGUGAGGAUUGGUGGUUUUGACAGGAAGUCCUUGAGUUGAGUCAAGGCUUUGUCUGCCUCUAUCCAUUGAAACUUGUCAUGACGCUUGAGAAGCUUUAAGAAGGGUAGUCCCUGUUCUCCAAGCCUCGAGAUGAAUCGAUUGAGGGCUGCCAUUUUUGGGGGGUCCCCAAACAAUUAUGAGAACACGAUGGGCGAAGACAACCGUGGUUCAGACAGAUGUUACAGUGGCUAUCCUAAUAAUGAUUCGUGUCCUUAGAGGGGACGGUUCGCCUCCCUUUAUAGAGUCAUAAAGUUACAUUUCCGCAUCCCCGUUAUACCCAUACUCAACCACUACAUCCUAAUAAUAUUCCGUACAAGACAGUAACUUGGUUCUCAUCUGAGAUGUCACUGUCACGGUAAAAUUACAUAUCCGAC